CGCACUCCGUGCAACAUCGUUCUGGAGCACCGAAGAAAAUCAACGGUGUUGCAGCACUUCUCCACGACGAAGCACAGCAAAAGGUUUGCUGAACACAAAGGAGUCAAACAACUUACAGUAAUGGACGCAGCUUCCAAGACAGUUGCGAGGCAAACGAGAAACGAGAUUUGUGAGUCCUGGGUUGCCACAUGCACUGCGGUAAACAUUCCACUCUCUAAGAGCGACCAUCCAGUGAUGAGAAAAUUCCAGAAUGAAAGCGUAAUCAAUGGCGGAGCCAUUCCAGGAUUUCACCAGCUGCAAGAUCAUUACUUAGGAGCAGUAUACGAGAAGCAAAAAGAAGAGUUGGCUGGAAAACCUGUUGCUGUUGUAUUUGAUGAGACUCCAGAUGUAGAGGGGCGAUGUGUGCUGAACAUCCUGCUUGCACCACUUGUAAAGGAUAAUUCUGGUCGCAUUUUGGCCUACCUUGCAGACACUGUGUUUCUCGAAGAGUGCAAUCAUUCACUGUAUCUAUGGCUGUUGUGAAAUGCCUACAAGAUUACGGCAUUCCAAAUGAAGAUGUUAUUGUGUUUGACACAGAUAAUGCAGCCUAUAUGAAGAAGGCAUUCAAAUCUGCUCUGCAGGCACUGUACCCCAACUCACUGCACAUCACAUGCCUGGCACACAUAAUGAGCUUCAUUGGAAAUGCCUUCCGCAAACCUUUUGAUCAGUUGAACCGCUUCAUGGUGAGCUUCUCCCAGAUGUUCUUCAAUGCUGGAUCACGCAAGAGACGAUACCUCUCCUUCAUGGCAAACAAGCUGCCAAGAAAAAAGGUGACCAUGCCUCCAAACCCCUGUGCAACACGAUGGAACGCCUGGUUCUUUGCUGUACAAUACCACAGGGAGUACUUUGGACUCUACAAGGAGUUCAUCGAGAUGGAAACACAGGUGUGUGGCAGAAGUGUACCACAGUCUAUGGAGAAACUCCACGAGAUGCUUCAGAACCCUAACCUGGCUCAAUCCCUGAAUGUGCAGAUCAAUGUCAUGGCUGACAAGUGUAGGAACAUCAUCAAUCUACUCGACAUCUUCGAGAGUAGACGUCCAGUGACUACAAAGAUCUUCAAUUAUCUGGAGGACAUGCAGGUGGUCAUUGCAGCCAACAAAGAGCUGCAGUUAGAGGUAUGCGACGAAUACUUCUGUGGGUUUGACCUAUCACACCCAAUGAAGACCGCCAUCCUCCAAACAGUUGGCAAUGUUUGAUGUCUUCAAUGCUGAAGAAAAGCUCAGCAAGUAUAUGUCAGAUGGGCAGCCAGCCAUAGGGUUUCUCCAGGAGGUCAGGGUGUUUGAUCCCUGUAACAUUGUAUUCCUAGACAAUUCUGUAGAAAGCUACAAGGCCAUUCCAGGUUUCUCGCAUGUGCCAAAUGAUGAGUUUACCUUGUACAUCACAGCCCUGGGUCCAGCAGCACUCAGAGCUGCACAAUCUGGCGUGGUAGAUCUGGAUCUUUUCUGGGAUGGCCCUCAGGAUAGACUUCCUGCUCUUUCUGUCUUGGCACGAAGAUACAAAGAUGCUGUCUCUAACUCAGCAGAUGCUGAAAGGAGCAACAGUAUCUACAAGUUGGUGUUGAGCAACAGAAGGAGGUCAACAACCAAUGAAAACUUGAAGGCAUUGGUCUUCUUGUGCCACAACCAUCACAUCUGGAGUGGCGCGUUUGAGAGGGACGAAAGAGAGAGGGAGAUAGAGGAGGAGGACGAGGAGUGAGAGGGCAUGGACGUUGAGGAAGAGGGGAUCGAGGAUAAUUAAUAAUUUCGAUUUGAUUGUACUCUGAUUGUUGUUUAUUUUUUGUUUCCUCUAUUUUUGUCAUUUAAUUUUUCAGAAACUGAUGCAUUAUUUUGAGAGAGAGGGAGAAGGGACAGGAGAUAGGAUUGGAUCAUUAUUUUUUGUGACCUAAUUUUUUCAUGCACCAGAGAUUGCACUUUGUUUUAUUUUGUUAUUGCAUAUAUGCACUUGUUUUGUACAUUAUUGCAUAUCAAUAUGGUAUUGUUCAAUGAUUGCACUGAGCAGGGUUCCCCAAAGUGCAAUAAGGCUCUUAUAUUUAGACCAGGGGCCUGUUUCAUGAAGCAGGUUCACUGAAAACUCUGACUUUCUUAACCCUGAAAUGAGGGAAACUCAGAGUUUUCCGUUUCACGAAGCAAGGUAACUCUAACCAGGGAAUGCAGGGUAACUCUAGCCUGUUUCACAAAGAGGGGUAACUUAAACUCUCGGCCAGUUACUGCAGUAACAGACUCUAUGACUCUAAUCUGGUCGCCAGCAGGUUUAUCUGAGAAAACCUCGAGUUUCUCUCCGUCUCCGCCCUCUUUCAGCCACACACGCUGUUUCAUUUCCUCAUUUAUUCAGUCAGUAAGCGGGCGAGUUUUGGCGUAGAACAGCAUUUAUUAACGAUCCAGUGGAUAAAGGAGCAGCAUUACUGCACAGAUAAUUAAAUAUUCAUCGGUAGAUUAUCAGACCGCGCAUAAAUGUUCUCGCAUUUCUGGACAAUUAUCUUUUUGAGCAGUACCGUUUCGUAAUCGUUUCAAGUCCAUAAUCUACAUAAACAACCUAAUCCGUCCUUACAUUUACAUUACCAGCCACAGUCAUGCUCUCACAUCCAGCAGAUAUUGUGUGUUGCGCUGCGGUUCUUUGCAAAUGGAAGUUUUUAUAUGAUGUCGGAGAUGCAGAGCACUUAAGUAAGACAACUGUAUGCAGGACAGUCAGAAAAGUUUUCCUGGUCCUGAAACGACUUUUACUCAUCAUUGUGGUUUUCCUGGACACAAACCUGUCAGAGCAUCAAGGAGGAGUUCCACAGGAUUGCAAUUGCAUGAUGUAGAGAUCUGUUAAAUUCAUUUUAAAUCAUAUUCUGUUAAUGACAUUGUGCUGCAACCUGAGACUGGGAUUAGUCAUUUUAAUUUCUUUUAGGAUUUCCCAGUGUGAUUGGCUGCAUAGAUGCACACACAUCCCCAUCACAGCUCCCUCACAUCAUGAAUAGGAAGUCCAUUCACAGCAUAAAUGUGCAGGUAGGCUACAGGUAGACUGACUACUGUUUCUAAAUGUUAAAGACUGCAUCAUAGUUCAACAUCUGUCAUUCUCUGCACUGCCCAGAUCAUAUGUGAUGCUGCAUACAUCAUUUCUAAUGUAGAGGCCACGUGGUCUAGAUCUGUUCAUGACUCCAGGAUUUAUGGAGAGUCUAACCUGAGCAACAGACUGCAGCAUGGUCAGCAGCCUAAAGAUUUUCACAAUAGAAUUCUCUUGUCUCCCUCCUUUAAUAUGCUCUGAUGUAUCCACUAUACGUUACAGGAGAGUUUGAUGGCCUUCUGCUGGGUGACAGGGGUUACCAUGCCAACCCAGGCUGAUGACCUCAUACCCUGAGGAGAGGAACACACUGACCUACAAACUGAAGACCCAGAUGAUGACCCCAUCCACCUGCAGCUAUCCAGGACAGCAGAGCAGUCAGAGACACCGUAUGCAAUAAUCACUUUAGAGUUUAAGUCACCAUCAUCAGCAAAUAAAGACAUGAUACACAUUUCAUUUGGUCUUCUUUAUCUCCUACAAAUAAAAGAGACAGUUCAGUUAAUGUUCCAGUAGUUAACAUAAUUCACCUGUGACCAUCACCCACCUCUAACUUGUGCUCCAGUAUUUCAAUUUCCAGAUCUGCCCUCCUAAUCUGUUUUUUUUUUUUUUUUUUUCUCAGCAAAUGCAGUUUGUAAAUUCGUUUUACUGAUAACUGGGAAUACAUAGAGGAUAUUAAAUUAUGCAGUUGCACAUGAAUUCCACAGAAUGAACCUCUGGUGUUUCCUGAACGUCCAUCUCACUGUGUCAGUCUGUGCAGUGGAAGUUGAGGGACCAUCCUGCUGCUGUCCAGC